AGCAGCCGCGGUAAUUCCAGCUCCAAUAGCGUAUAUUAAAGUUGUUGCAGUUAAAAAGCUCGUAGUUGAAUUUCGGAAUCAAUAUGUUGGUCGUGCCAUUGGUACGCACUGGCAUUAUUGGUUUCUACCUUCUGAAGAACCUCGAUGUCAUUAAUUUGGUGUCUUGGGGAAUCAGGACUGUUACUUUGAAAAAUUAGAGUGUUUAAAGCAAGCUCGCGCUUGAAUACAUUAGCAUGGAAUAAUGAAAUAGGACGUUUGAUUCUAUUUUGUUGGUUUCUAGGAUUGACGUAAUGAUUAAUAGGGAUAGUUGGGGGCAUUAGUAUUCAAUUGUCAGAGGUGAAAUUCUUGGAUUUAUUGAAGACUAACUACUGCGAAAGCAUUUGCCAAGGAUGUUUUCAUUAAUCAAGAACGAAAGUUAGGGGAUCGAAGACGAUCAGAUACCGUCCUAGUCUCAACCAUAAACGAUGCCGACUAGGGAUCGGCGGAUGUUGCUUUUAGGACUCCGCCGGCUA
rnacentral:rRNA from 1 species